rnacentral:tRNA from 1 species
GGGGAUAUAGCUCAGUGGCACAGCUUUUGCCUUAGGCAUGAGAUCUGAGGUUUAAUCCCCAGCAUCACCA